rnacentral:rRNA from 1 species
GACGAACGCUGGCGGCGUGCCUAAUACAUGCGAGUAGAACGCUGAAGGAGGAGCUUGCUCUUCUGGAUGAGUUGCGAACGGGUGAGUAACGCGUAGGUAACCUGCCUGGUAGCGGGGGAUAACUAUUGGAAACGAUAGCUAAUACCGCAUAAGAGUAGAUGUUGCAUGACAUUUGCUUAAAAGGUGCACUUGCAUCACUACCAGAUGGACCUGCGUUGUAUUAGCUAGUUGGUGGGGUAACGGCUCACCAAGGCCACGAUACAUAGCCGACCUGAGGGCGUGAUCGGCCACACUGAGACUGAUACACGGCCCAGACUCCUACAGGAGGCAGCUGUAGGGAAUCUUCGGCAAUGGACGGAAGUCAGACCGAGCAACGCCGCGUGAGUGAAGAAGGUUUUCGGAUCGUAAAGCUCUGUUGUAAGAGAAGAACGAGUGUGAGAGUGGAAAGUUCACACUGUGACGGUAGCUUACCAGAAGGGGACGGCUAACUACGUG